UUGACUAUUAUGUAGGAAUCAAGUAACAAAUCCAAAGCAGGGGUGAGCCCAUUUUUCUGCUUAGCAGUGUUGUUACUAUUUAAUUAUCGCACUACACAAAACCUUUUCAUCAUUGUCUUUAAUUUACACCAACUCAUUACCAAAAACUUACUACGAUUAUUGGUACGUCACAACUGUAGACCAUUCUUCAUGUCUCCAACAGAAAAGGCAGCAGCUUCUGAUGUAAGCUAAUCGAUACACCAUAAUCAUCCACCCUG
rnacentral:lncRNA from 1 species